GUCAGUGUGGUGUAGUGGUUUGAGCAUUAGACUCUGACUCUGGAGACUAGGGUUCAAACCCUGGUUCAGCCA